GACGAACGCUGGCGGCGUGCUUAACACAUGCAAGUCGAACGAAGUGGCGAACUGGUGAGUAACGCGUAAUCAACCUGCCCUUCAGAGGGGGACAACAGUUGGCAACGACUGCUAAUACCGCAUUAUGAAGGAGGGGAUUGCGUGUGGUUAGUUAGUUGGAGGGGUAACGGCCCACAAAGGCGAUGAUCAGUAGCGGGUCUGAGAGGAGGAACGGCCACAUUGGCACUGAGACACGACCAAGACUCCUACGGGAGGCAGCAGUGGGGAAGCUUCCGAAAUGGACGAAAGUCUGACGGAGCAACGCCGCGUGAGUGAUGACGGCCUUCGGGUUGUAAAGCUCUGUUAAUCGGGACGCGGUACCGGAAUAGAAAGCCACGGCUAACUACGUGCCAGCAGCCGCGGUAAUAC
rnacentral:rRNA from 1 species